rnacentral:rRNA from 1 species
GACGAACGCUGGCGGCGUGCUUAACACAUGCAAGUCGAACGGAAAGGCCCUGCUUUUGUGGGGUGCUCGAGUGGCGAACGGGUGAGUAACACGUGAGUAACCUGCCCUUGACUUUGGUAUAACUUCAGGAAACUGGGGCUAAUACCGGAUAGGAGCUCCUGCUGCAUGGUGGGGGUUGGAAAGUUUCGGCGGCUGGGGAUGGACCCGCGGGUUAUCAGCUUGUUGGUGGGGUAGUGGCUUACCAAGGCUUUGACGGGUAGCCGGCCUGAGAGGGUGACCGGCGACAUUGGGACUGAGAUACGGCCCAGACUCCUACGGGGGGCAGCAGUGGGGAAUAUUGCGCAAUGGGCGGAAGCCUGAUGCAGCAACGCCGCGUGCGGGAUAACGGCCUUCGGGUUGUAAACCGCUUUCGCCUGUGACGAAGCGUGAGUGACGGUAAUGGGUAAAGAAGCACCGGCUAACUACGUG